CAGAUCUCCAGUCUUAGAGUUUGAUCCUGGCUCAGAACGAACGCUGGCGGCAGGCUUAACACAUGCAAGUCGAACGCCCCGCAAGGGGAGUGGCAGACGGGUGAGUAACGCGUGGGAAUCUACCCAGUUCUACGGAACAACUGAGGGAAACUUCAGCUAAUACCGUAUACGCCCCAAGGGGGAAAGAUUUAUCGGAAUUGGAUGAGCCCGCGUUGGAUUAGCUAGUUGGUGGGGUAAUGGCCUACCAAGGCGACGAUCCAUAGCUGGUCUGAGAGGAUGAUCAGCCACACUGGGACUGAGACACGGCCCAGACUCCUACGGGAGGCAGCAGUGGGGAAUAUUGGACAAUGGGCGCAAGCCUGAUCCAGCCAUGCCGCGUGAGUGAUGAAGGCCUUAGGGUUGUAAAGCUCUUUCAGUAGGGACGAUAAUGACGGUACCUACAGAAGAAGCCCCGGCUAACUUCGUGCCAGCAGCCGCGGUAAUACGAAGGGGGCUAGCGUUGUUCGGAUUUACUGGGCGUAAAGCGCACGUAGGCGGAUUGUUAAGUGAGGGGUGAAAUCCCAGGCUCAACCCUGGAACUGCCUUUCAUACUGGCAAUCUAGAGUCCGGAAAGUGAUGGAACUCU
rnacentral:rRNA from 1 species